GCUAAUACCGGAUAACAAACAGAUGAUGCCUAUCAACUGUUUAAAAGAUGGUUCUGCUAUCACUCUUGGAUGGACCUGCGGUGCAUUAGCUAGUUGGUAGGGUAACGGCCUACCAAGGCGAUGAUGCAUAGCCGAGUUGAGAGACUGAUCGGCCACAUUGGGACUGAGACACGGCCCAAACUCCUACGGGAGGCAGCAGUA
rnacentral:rRNA from 1 species